rnacentral:rRNA from 1 species
CGAUGAGGGGAGUAACUACUGGAAACGGUAGCUAAUACCGCAUAACGUCGCAAGACCAAAGAGGGGGACCUUCGGGCCUCUUGCCAUCGGAUGUGCCCAGAUGGGAUUAGCUAGUAGGUGGGGUAACGGCUCACCUAGGCGACGAUCCCUAGCUGGUCUGAGAGGAUGACCAGCCACACUGGAACUGAGACACGGUCCAG